rnacentral:rRNA from 1 species
UACGUAGGGUGCAAGCGUUGUUCGGAAUUAUUGGGCGUAAAGAGCUCGUAGGCGGUCUGUCGCGUCUGCUGUGAAAAUCCAGGGCUCAACCCUGGACCUGCAGUGGGUACGGGCAGACUAGAGUGCGGUAGGGGAGAUCGGAAUUCCUGGUGUAGCGGUGAAAUGCGCAGAUAUCAGGAGGAACACCGAUGGCGAAGGCAGGUCUCUGGGCCAUAACUGACGCUGAGAAGCGAAAGCAUGGGGAGCGAACAGG